UUGAGUCUCCGUUACAGAUCGGGUAGCGAUAGAAAUUACUAUUAACCAGCAGGUUGGUAAAAUGAAAUACAAAUGUUUGCUUCAACUGAAGUAGAUGCAUUAAACGUAACGCAUUAUGAUCACAUUAGUUGAGUGUAAACACAAGGGUGUUCGUAAUUUUUGAGUGUGGAAAAGGAAAACGGACUGACAGACGUUAGCAAAGCAAGCUAGCAGAUGAACGCUGGGAUGUAGCUAGCAUUUAGCAGAGGCUCCCACUUGUUGCCGCAUGACAGUUAGGUUUGUCUUUCUGUUUGUUUUGCUUCGUGACACAUAUUUUUUUUUAUCGUUCGUAAACUGUUGAGCAGGGUAAACAACACAACGCGUAUCCUUUCUUUGAUCAGACACAUCGGAGCAUCGUGUUGUACCAGCUGCCACUUGCAGACAAAUAAGUCUAGAGUAACCUUUAUUUGUUCAGCUCUAAUUUGUAAUCUUUGUCUCUGGUUAUGCUUUUAAAAAGAACACAAUUAUAAGUAGAACUAAACCGCCACCAUUCUAAAUCAAGCAGAGAGAAACAAUUAAUCAGACUUUAUAUAUUGACAGUUGACAAUACUGCAAAGAUGAUCAUACAUUUCCAAGAGAUAUAUGUUUGAGAAAUGAGAUGAAAUGUAAUAUUAUGAAUGUUAUCUAGUAAAUCUCAAGUAAAAGGUGGUAAAAAAAAAAAAGAAAAGUACAUUUGUUUGCUGACCUAAAGCAUUAGUGGGUCCUGACCCAGACCCAGUCAGACCAUUCACACACUUUACAAUACAAUACUGUGCAAAGGUUUUAGGCAGUUGCUGUUUGGUGGGAAUGUUAUUACAAAUAAAUUUGAAUAGUUUUUUUUCUUCAUUUAACAUAAUGCAAAGUGAGCUAACAGAAGAACUAUCUAAAUCAAGAGACCAUGCUUUCUCUUCAAAACAGCAUCAGUUCUUAGAGGUACGCUUGCACAAAGUCAGGGAUUUUGCAGGAUUAUUACCAGGCAUAUGAUUAAUCAGUUUUAAUAAACUGGUUCUAAUGAUCGUCAUUUUCAUUUGUAGGUUGAAACACAGUCAUUAACUGAAAUAGCUGUUUAAGAGGCUCAAAACUGGGUGUAAGGAACCGCCAGACUCUGCUACCAAGGUGAGACUGUGGAAGACCGUUUCAUGUCACAGGUCCUACGCCAUGGCAAGACUGAAUACAGCAACAAGACACAAGGUAGUUGUACUACAUCAGCAAGGUCUUUCCCAGGCAAAGAUUUCAAAACAGACUGGGGUUUCAAGAUGUGCUGUUCAAGCUCUUUUGAAGAAGCACAAAGAAACAGGCAAUGUUGAGGACCGUAGGCGUAGUGGUCGGCCAAGGAAACUUAGUGUGGCAGAUGAAAGACACAUCAUGCUUACUUCCCUUCAAAAUCGUAAGAUGUCCAGCAGUGCCAUCAGCUCAGAACUGGCAGUAACCUGUGGGACCCAGGUACACCCAUCUACUAUUCGGAGAAGUCUGGGUCGCAGAGCAGCUGUAGCAUUAGCUGCUGAAGCUGGCAUUUUCUCUCCCACUGAAGAGGAGUCUGAGGAUGCCCUGUUGAAGAUGUCUGUUUUACAUACGGACUCCACCACACCUGCUUUAUCAGAUGACAGCCGCAUUACUGAGGAUGAAUCAAAAUCAGGUUUAUUGCCAGAAGAUUAACAGAAGAUAAAAGACUGUACAAAUUGUGCAAUCUGCAAUUGGGAGUGCAGAGCAGCAGUUUGAUGUCAGUAAGGUGCUCAGGACAUGGACACAGGAACUGACAUGGAUUGCAGUGAGACAAAGAAUGAAGAGGACAACAAUGUUAUUCAAGAUCCAAAAGUCCUUCCCAGUGAUCUGGAAAACCUUCUUGUAGUCGACCCUAACAACGAGGUCAGACGGACGAGCCCCAAACCAGAGACCAAGAAGGACGAGGAGAAAAAAAUAAGUAAAGAGCAUUUGAGUAAAUGAAGAAUAGAGACCUGAGAAUUAAACUGCAUUUGCUAUUCACAUUAACAAUAUUACAGUCCUCAACAUGGGGAAUGUUUUCUUCAGCUUUUGUUUAUAUUUAUGUUUUGCUCUUUGUGUGUGUCAAAUAUGUGCUUUACAUCUUUUUUAAUAAAAAUACU